UACGUAGGGUGCAAGCGUUGUCCGGAAUUAUUGGGCGUAAAGAGCUCGUAGGCGGUUUGUCGCGUCGAAUGUGAAACCCGGGGCUCAACCCCGGGCCUGCAUUCGAUACGGGCAGACUAGAGUUCGGUAGGGGGAGUCUGGGAAUUCCUGGUGUAGCGGUGAAAAUGCGCAGAUAUCAAGGAGGAACACCGGUGGCGAAGGCGGGACUCUGGGCCGAUACUGACGCUGAGGAGCGAAAGCGUGGGGAGCAAACAGGA
rnacentral:rRNA from 1 species